rnacentral:lncRNA from 1 species
GAACUGCAUCAUCAAGAAAAGUCUCCUCCAGUAUAAAGCCACAACUUCUCUUCUACAUCUAACCUGUUUCCCAAAAUUCCCUGUAAAACAUCUGAAAAUCUGAAAACUAACUAGAAGCCGAUCCUUUUUCCUUGUUAUUACUCCUGCACCACUUCCCUCAUUUGAUCACCCCUUCUUCUCCACAUCCAAAAUCAUCUCUCUACCUAGAGUAUCAUCGUUUGCAUCAGUUGAGAUAUCUACUUCUUUGGAAAAUAAACUUCCAUAACACUCUUUAUUGUUUUAUUCAGAACUUUGACUCCAGGGCAUGAUGCGGUUCAGAAAGUCACCCUAAUUCCACGUGGCCAGGCACGGGGCCUCACCUGGUUUAUUCCUACAGAUGACCCCACAUUGAUCUCUAAGCAACAACUUUUUGCAAGAAUAGUUGGAGGAUUAGGUGGCAGAGCUGCUGAAGAAGUGAUAUUUGGUGAGCCUGAGGUGACCACAGGGGCAGCCGGUGAUUUGCAGCAGAUCACGGGUCUGGCUAAGCAGGUAACCAAAAAUUUCAAUUUUAUACGCGUUGACCAGUGUUCACUUUGUUCUACAAAGAUCAGUUUUACUAUGUCAAUUUAUGUAAUGUCCUUUUGGAGUAGGAAAUGGGAUCUGUGCAUUUAAUAUUCCAAUUUCCGUAAGAUGGAAGGAUUCUCUUUUAGUUAGUUGAUAAGUCAACAUAAUCUGGAUCAGCUCUUGAGUUAAAGACAGUAUCUGGAGUCUAGAAUUUCAUCCUAAUUUGAAGUCACAUUUGCCAUGUCUUUUCCUUUCUUCUUUUGGUGAUUUGUGUGGCAUAUCUGUCUUGCUUUUUGUAUGUAUUUCUGCAUGCCCUUUUGCAUAUUUCAUCAAGAAGAAUUUAAUUGAAAUGAGGAGUGUUUUUUGAUCCUGUGGUUACAGAUGGUAACCACGUUUGGAAUGUCAGAAAUUGGACCAUGGUCACUAAUGGAUGCAUCAGCUCAAAGCGCUGAUGUCUUCAUGAGAAUGAUGGCAAGGAAUUCGAUGUCAGAAAAGCUCGCAGAAGACAUUGAUGCUGCUGUGAAGAGGAUAUCAGACGGUGCAUAUGAAAUUGCUUUGAGUCACAUAAGGAGCAACCGUGAAGCCAUUGAUAAGAUUGUGGAAGUCCUCCUUGAGAAGGAAACUAUGAC